CUCCAACGAUCUCGGCAGAAUCGUUACACAGGAAGAAGUCUGGCUGGCCCCAAGCCUGGUGCAAAAUGAAGAAAUGGCACUCCACAUCAAUUCAUGUUUACUUGUCGUCAUAACCAGUCUGUUAGCUUAAUUUUUGGUUCUUCCUAUUGAAUUCUCAAGAAAGGUA